CCUACGGGGGGCAGCAGUGGGGAAUAUUGGACAAUGGGGGCAACCCUGAUCCAGCCAUGCCGCGUGUGUGAAGAAGGCCCUCGGGUUGUAAAGCACUUUCAGUGAGGAAGAACGCCUGGUGGUUAAUACCCAUCAGGAAAGACAUCACUCACAGAAGAAGCACCGGCUAACUCCGUGCCAGCAGCCGCGGUAAUACGGAGGGUGCGAGCGUUAAUCGGAAUUACUGGGCGUAAAGCGCGCGUAGGUGGCUUGAUAAGCCGGUUGUGAAAGCCCCGGGCUCAACCUGGGAACGGCAUCCAGAACUGUCAAGCUAGAGUGCAGGAGAGGAAGGUAGAAUUCCCGGUGUAGCGGUGAAAUGCGUAGAGAUCGGGAGGAAUACCAGUGGCGAAGGCGGCCUUCUGGACUGACACUGACACUGAGGUGCGAAAGCGUGGGUAGCAAACAGGAUUAGAUACCCUGGUAGUC
rnacentral:rRNA from 1 species